rnacentral:tRNA from 1 species
GGAGGGGUGCGAGAGUGGUUGAAUCGGGCGGUCUCGAAAACCGUUGUAGGGGCAACCCCCCUACCGUGGGUUCGAAUCCCACCCCCUCCG